ACGCGCGCUGGCGGCGUGCUUCACACCUGCAAGUCGAACGGAAAGGCCCUGCUUUUGUGGGGUGCUCGAGUGGCGAACGGGUGAGUAACACGUGAGUAACCUGCCCUUGACUUUGGGAUAACUUCAGGAAACUGGGGCUAAUACCGGAUAGGAGCUCCUGCUGCAUGGUGGGGGUUGGAAAGUUUCGGCGGUUGGGGAUGGACUCGCGGCUUAUCAGCUUGUUGGUGGGGUAGUGGCUUACCAAGGCUUUGACGGGUAGCCGGCCUGAGAGGGUGACCGGCCACAUUGGGACUGAGAUACGGCCCAGACUCCUACGGGAGGCAGCAGUGGGGAAUAUUGCACAAUGGGCGGAAGCCUGAUGCAGCAACGCCGCGUGCGGGAUGACGGCCUUCGGGUUGUAAACCGCUUUCGCCUGUGACGAAGCGUGAGUGACGGUAAUGGGUAAAGAAGCACCGGCUAACUACGUG
rnacentral:rRNA from 1 species